CCUACGGGAGGCAGCAGUGAGGAAUAGUGGUCAAUGGACGAGAGUCUGAACCAGCCAAGUAGCGUGAAGGAUGACUGCCCGAUGGGUUGUAAACUUCUUUUAUAGGGGAAUAAAACGGGCCACGUGUGGGAUUUUGUAUGUACCAUAUGAAUAAGGAUCGGCUAACUCCGUGCCAGCAGCCGCGGUAAUACGGAGGAUCCGAGCGUUAUCCGGAUUUAUUGGGGUUACCGGGAGCGUAGGUGGCUUGUUAAGUCAGUUGGGAAAGUUUGCGGCUCAACCGUAAAAUUGCAGUUGAAACUGGCAGUCUUGCGUACAGUAGCGGUGGUCGGCAUUCG
rnacentral:rRNA from 1 species